rnacentral:rRNA from 1 species
AUGAACGCUGGCGGCGUGCCUAAUACAUGCCAGUCGAGCGAACAGACGAGGAGCUUGCUCCUCUGACGUUAGCGGCGGACGGGUGAGUAACACGUGGAUAACCUACCUAUAAGACUGGGAUAACUUCGGGAAACCGGAGCUAAUACCGGAUAAUAUAUUGAACCGCAUGGUUCAAUAGUGAAAGACGGUUUUGCUGUCACUUAUAGAUGGAUCCGCGCCGCAUUAGCUAGUUGGUAAGGUAACGGCUUACCAAGGCAACGAUGCGUAGCCGACCUGAGAGGGUGAUCGGCCACACUGGAACUGAGACACGGUCCAGACUCCUACGGGAGGCAGCAGUAGGAAAUCUUCCGCAAUGGGCGAAAGCCUGACGGAGCAACGCCGCGUGAGUGAUGAAGGUCUUCGGAUCGUAAAACUCUGUUAUUAGGGAAGAACAAAUGUGUAAGUAACUAUGCACGUCUUGACGGUACCUAAUCAGAAAGCCACGGCUAACUACGUG